AUUGAACGCUGGCGGCAUGCCUUACACAUGCAAGUCGAACGGUAACAGGUCUUCGGAUGCUGACGAGUGGCGAACGGGUGAGUAAUACAUCGGAACGUGCCCGAGAGUGGGGGAUAACGAGGCGAAAGCUUUGCUAAUGCCGCAUACGAUCUCAGGAUGAAAGCAGGGGACCGCAAGGCCUUGCGCUCACGGAGCGGCCGAUGGCAGAUUAGGUAGGUGGUGGGAUAAAAGCUUACCAAGCCGACGAUCUGUAGCUGGUCUGAGAGGACGACCAGCCAAAAUGGGACUGGGAAACGGCCCAGACUCCUACGGGAGGCAGCAGUAGGGAAUUUUGGACAAUGGGCGCAAGCCUGAUCCAGCCAUGCCGCGUGCAGGAUGAAGGCCUUCGAGUUGUAAACUGCUUUUGUACGGAACGAAAAGACUCUGGUUAAUACCUGGGGUCCAUGACGGUACCGUAAGAAUAAGCACCGGCUAACUACGUGCCAGCCGCCGCUGUAACAC
rnacentral:rRNA from 1 species